rnacentral:lncRNA from 1 species
AUUUUUUCCCCAAAAAAAUCAGGGGGAAAGGAGUGCUUUGGAAUAAAAAUUGUCUACUAUCCUAUCUGACCCUCCAAUAUUGCAAGGCUAGCCAAUUCGGACAUUGAUGAAUCAUAAAUAAAAUCUCGAGUCAAUUUACUCACAAAGUUGCUAUCGUUCUUGCCAACUAAUUUUUGUAACUAGAUGAUUUUGACCACGGGAUUUUCAGUCAUCAAAAGCACCUUUGCUGAUUGCUGCAAAUUAUAUGAUCGCCUUUUCGAGGCUAGUGCAGGGAAGGUUAUAUUAUCGAUUGCUUCGACUGUUAGAUUUAGAUUCGAGAGAUGGUGCUUCUAUGAUCACAAUUUUGUUAGUAGCUUUUGCUGGGCAAUCUCUUGCUCACAACUUGACUCGGAAAAUGGGUUCCCAUUCCUUUAACUGUAUUUCUGUUGUUAGAAUGGUUUGCAAGCUGUUCAUUGCCUGCGUAAGAUUAUGAAAAGUAAAUUCCCCUGCUCUUUCAUUGUAAAUCAAACGCUAUUUAUUAGCUAAAGUUUUUUUCAAAAACAUUGUUUAAUUUUAGAAAGUAGUAUUGAUUAAGGAGGAACGCAUAUUCAACGAUGCUCUCUUCUUUAUAUCUAUCCUCAAUUGUAAUUUAAUAUUACAAACACAAUCGUGAUUUCUUCUCAUAUAUAAUUUUGUUCUUCUGCCUUCGUGUUUGCUUGGUAGGAAUUCUCUGUUUAUUUUAUUAAUCAAAUGGAGUGUGAAGAUUUUUUGACAUUACUGCAUAUAAUCUGGAGGUUGGGAUAUGAAUCUGUUACAAUUUGAGAAAGAAACCAAGGCAUGCUUACAUGGGUUUUGAAGAUCUCUUUCACUCAGCGCCUGCCUGGAAUCAUGGUUUUAGCACAUGGUUGAGCUUCUGGAUUAGUUGGUUGUGGUAGCUGGAUCUUAUUAGGGGAAAUGCUAUCUGUAAUUCGUCACUUGAAAGUCUUGUAGUCCUCCUAGCUUGCACACCAAACCUGUCAAUUGCUGUCUUUUAAUUAAAUAUCAGAUUUAUCCAUGGCUAUGGGUUGUGGUGUGCAUUUCUGUGUCAGUUUUUGUGAUUUUCUUGCCCUUUAUGCCUCUCUAAGCAGGUUGGAGAACAUUACUUACUGUUCCAGAGCUCGAAACAGAGGUUAAACUGCUUUGGGAACUAGGGAUAAUUGUUGAAAUUUCUUAAGCUUUGAUGACAAUUUACUCUGUGCCUCUUCCUUGUUGAAAAUGCUAAUACUGGAAGUUCACGAUUCUGAAUCUCCGAAACAAGGACCACAUUUUGUUUGUGCGUUUGCAUCUGAUCUUGACGGAUAUGAAUCUGAGAUCUAUUUGUUUGUAGAUGGAUUUCGAGAAGUUUUAGUUGAGAUUUCUUUUAACAAGACAAGCUCCUUCCAAGAACAGGCGUUGUUUAUUGGAGUUCUAGCACCAGUCGAUUUUUUUUCUUUUGAUCUAUCUGUU